AUUGAACGCUAGCGGAAUGCUUAACACAUGCAAGUCGAACGAGGGGCGGACGGGUGAGUAAUGUAGCGGAACGUGCCCAGUAGGGGGGGAUAACUACUCGAAAGAGUGGCUAAUACCGCAUAGUAUUGGAGCGUCCGAUAUCGGAUUAGCUAGUUGGUGGGGUAAAGGCUCACAAAGGCAACGAUCCCUAGCCGGUGUGAGAGGAAGACCAGCCACACUGGGACUGAGACACGGCCCAGACUCCUACGGGAGGAAGCAGUGGGGAAGUUUGGAAAAUGGGGGAAACCCUGAGCGAGCCAUCCCGCGUGUAUGAGAAGGCCUUCGGUUUGUAAAGUACUUUUGGCAGGGAAGCGGUAUCUGCAGAAUAAGCACCGGCUAACUACGUGCCAGCAGCCGCGGUAAUAC
rnacentral:rRNA from 1 species